ACCGCGUGUCCUCCUGUGCUGCCUCUUCCUCUUUGUCUCCCACCCCUUCGACUCUGCUUCAUGCUAAGCCUGUCCAGAAAGACCUUGAAAUGGGGAGAACAGAGAUCUUCAAGAAGCGAAAGGAAAAGGAAUUCAAGCAGAUGAGAGGGCACGAGCAAACAAGUUGGAUGUGAGAGAGACAAGAACAAGGCACACUCUCAUUCUUGGGCGGAAAAGUGAGACAACCAUCGAACAUGCUUUUUGCCCUAAGACACGGUGAAGAAUCAAAGUCUGAUCCUCCAGGAAAGAGCCCGGCAGAGUUGUGGGAGUUUCCCCAGGUAGGAUUUUCCUUUCUUCCUGGAAAAGAAGCUUCACCUAUGAAACUUUUAGGUAUUGC